CUCGUAGGCGGCCAACUAAGUCCGACGUGAAAUCCCCAGGCUCAACCUGGGAACUGCGUCGGAUACUGGAUGGCUUGAAUUCGGGAGAGGGAUGCAGAAUUCCAGGUGUAGCGGUGAAAUGCGUAGAUAUCUGGAGGAAUACCGGUGGCGAAGGCGGCAUCCUGGACCGACAUUGACGCUGAGGAGCGAAAGCUAGGGGAGCAAACGGGAUUAGAUACCCCGGUAGUCCUAGCCCUAAACGAUGAAUGCUUGGUGUGGCGGGUAUCGAUCCCUGCCGUGCCGAAGCUAACGCAUUAAGCAUUCCGCCUGGGGAGUACGGUCGCAAGGCUGAA
rnacentral:rRNA from 1 species